CCUACGGGAGGCAGCAGUGAGGGAUAUUGGUCAAUGGGGGAAACCCUGAACCAGCAACGCCGCGUGAGGGAAGACGGUUUUCGGAUUGUAAACCUCUGUCCUCUGUGGGGAUAAUGACGGUAGCAGAGGAGGAAGCUCCGGCUAACUACGUGCCAGCAGCCGCGGUAAUACGUCGGGAGCAGUCGUUGUCCGGAUUUACUGGGUGUAAAGGGGGCGCAGACGGCGAUGCAAGCCAGGAGUGAAAGCCCGGGGCCCAACCCCGGGACUGCUCUUGGAACUGCGUGGCUGGAGUGCAGGAGGGGCAGGCGGAAUUCCUGGUGUAGCGGUGAAAUGCGUAGAUAUCAGGAGGAACACCGGUGGCGAAGGCGGCCUGCUGGACUGCAACUGACGUUGAGGCUCGAAAGCGUGGGGAGCAAACAGGAUUAGAUACCCGUGUAGUC
rnacentral:rRNA from 1 species